rnacentral:rRNA from 1 species
GAUGAACGCUGGCGGCGUGCCUAAUACAUGCAAGUCGAGCGAACGGACGAGAAGCUUGCUUCUCUGAUGUUAGCGGCGGACAGGUGAGUAACACGUGGAUAACCUACCUAUAAGACUGGGAUAACUUCGGGAAACCGUAGCUAAUACCGGAUAAUAUUUUGAACCGCAUGGUUCAAAAGUGAAAGACGGUCUUGCUGUCACUGAUAGAUGGAUCGGCGCUGCAUUAGCUAGUUGGUAAGGUAACGGCUUACCAAGGCAACGAUGCAAAGCGGACCUGGGAGGGUGGUCGGCCACACUGGACGUGAGCCACGGUCCAGACUCGUACGCGAGGCAGCAGAAGGGAAUCGUCCGCAAUGGGAGAGAGCCUGACGGAGCAACGCCGCGUGAGGGAUAAAGGUCUUCGGAUCGUAAAACUAUGUUAUUAGGGAAGAACAUAUGUGUAAGUAACUGUGCACAUCUUGACGGUACCUAAUCAGAAAGCAACGGCUAACUACGUG